GAUCAUGGCUCAGGAUGAACGCUAGCGACAGGCUUAACACAUGCAAGUCGAGGGGCAUCAUGAGGUAGCAAUACCUUGAUGGCGACCGGCGCACGGGUGAGUAACGCGUGGGUAACCCGCCUCAUACAGGGGGAUAGCAGCUGGAAACGGCUGAUAAAACCGCAUAAGCGCACAGCAUCGCAUGAUGCAGUGUGAAAAACUCCGGUGGU
rnacentral:rRNA from 1 species